AGAUCACCACGAACAGACAGACAGGCCCAGGGGUGGUCGUGCGCUCUGGUCUCCUGGCUUCACCUUGGGUCACUACUCCCGGCCUCCCUUUACCUCACCAGGUCCAGAACCUGAGACUCCCAGACCUUGGGCCGAGGAACACAGGACUCAUCUCAGAACUAAAAGAACAUUGAAUCAGAGUUGUAUGAGAGCAUACACAGACCAAUGAAGCCCAUUCAGCUCUUCCUCAAUGGCUUCCAUUGCUUAAAGUCUUGAGCUAAGAAGCUUCUGCUUGUGUAGAGAAGACCUUGGACAGAGGCAGCCUGGCUGAGGCAUCUCAAAUCGAAGGUGCUUACUAAGGCUAGCAGCACAUCACCUAGCUCUGUCAUGUGAGGGUAGCCCUGUCUCAGCAAGUCCAUGUCCCAGUGCUAGUCCCUUCACUGCAUCAUUCAAGACUGUCCUGCUCCAGAAGAGACUUCAGGGAUGUAGCACUCAGUGAUGGACAACUAGAUCUAACCCAAAUUGUGUGGGCAGCUGACAGUCACCCAAAACCUCAAGGAUCUGUUUGGCUAUGUGUGUUUGCCAAGCUUUUCUCAAAGAGGGGCCUCAGACCUGCAUCUCAACACCAUGCAAGGAAGACAUGCAGCUUGAUCAGCUUGUGUCAUCUAAUCCCUUCUGUUGGUGGCCAUUCUGACCAUUACUGGUGAUCUCAUUUUUCACAGUCAACUCUGUCCUGUUAAGGUACAGUAACUCCACAAGCAGCCCUCUACCACAGAGGCCCAACACUAUUUCCCACAACCCAACAGGAGUCAUCAUCAUAGAGAUUUUUUUUCUUUUUGCUGCAUCAGAGAAUAGAAAAAAAAAAAAUCAGGGAAGUCUGGUGUUAGAUAUAAAAUUACCAUGUGGUCUAACAGCUCCUCUGGUAUUAGAUAUAAAAUCGCUAUGUGAUCUAACAGCUCCAUUUCUGGGUUUAGCCCCAAAGAAUUUAUUUACUUUUUUUUGUGGUCUUUUUGAGACACGGUCUCCCCAGC